ensembl:lncRNA
UGAUAUUGACACAAGAAAAAAUAGAUGGUUUCAUGAAGACAAUUCCUGGUUUAUUUUAUACAAGUUUGUGGUGAAAGAUAUAUGGUGAAAUAUGGUAAAAUACAGCCACUCAUACGUUGGGCAGUGCUGACAAGUUGGCAAUACAGUUACUAGGGGAGUUUGUUUUGGUUUCUUUUUGUUAUCUGUUUGCAAUACCCAACACUAAACAUAUGAAGUUGGUUGCAGUAGUUUCAGCUGUGUUGUAUGACAUACCUCUCAAAACAUAACAAAUGGGGAAGCAGAAAAAAGUAUGUUUCAAGAGGACACACCCUGGGAGAGACCAGGGGUGAUCAUACAAACAGAGACGGAAUAAUAUUUGAUAGGCUAAACUGUAUAGAUCAGAAUUGUGCAAACAACAGAAUUAGGAAGGUAUGCACAUGCAGGAAGUGUGAUGUGAAGAAUCUUCAUCAAAAGCCUGGACCAUAUAAUGGAAAUUCACUUGAUUCAAUAUUGCACAGUCAACCUGAAUUGCAGCUGAUGAUCGUGAACUGCUUGUUGACAAAAGGAGAAAAAGAAUUUUCCAAAGUAGAAAGAGGCAUGGGAGGAGAAAAGGAAGCCUGCGUGACACCAUGUACUAAUGAGAAAAAAUAAAACGAGAAAUGCUCAAGGAGAAAGAUAGUCAAAGAGAACAUGAAGGAAGAUGGAAUGAACUUAUAUGUCAAGUAGAACAGAAUAUUUUUCAAGAACCAAGUCCAUCUACCUGGACAUGUGAAAGAGGAAUGCUGCUGCUGAAAGGAAGUACUCUCUUCCUUCCCUUCUCCCCACUCCCAAGAACAUAAUAAAAUAAUAUACUGGGGACCUGGGGGCAUAUAUUGAAGGGGAUAAACCUGAGGAAGAACCUGGCUCAAGGGAAGAAUAUUUUAAAGAAGAAAAAGGUCACAGAGUUUGUGAUGGAUGUUGAAAGAAGAGUAAGACAAAUUUACAGUAAAAGAAACAAGUGGGAUUGCCAAAACAAGGGAAUAUCUGAAUAUGUUGGGAUGAGCAACUACAAUACAGAAGAUCAGUUAACCUUUCUUCAGACUUAGAACAGAUUCCACUACAAAGCCUCACACCUGACAUUUAAACUUGUCUGCAUGAAAGUUCUUAUGGUGCAGAUACCAGCUGGAUCCAAUUCUCAUUCAGCUAAUAGCUGGAAUGUGGAGAAGCUUCAACCAAAUCUCAAAAGCAAACAAAAUAAUCUGAAGGAUAAAGAUACGACGAAAGCAGCAAAUUCCUCUGAAAUCUACUGGGCUGAGGAAUGAUGAAACACAAGACAAAGCUCUUAUCUAUCAGGAAGUUUAAAGCACACCACCUUUUCAUUAUGACAGCAAAUGCUGAAGGAUUUGAAGAACACUCUCCUUUUCUGCAAAGAUGGGACCUAACUGAACGUAUAAUUGAAACAGUGAGACCACCUGGAUACACAACGUUGUCAACUAUAAAAAGGCAUACACAUACAACAUAUGGUUGCUGGUAUAAGCAGGCCAAGCAACUUUUACAGGCACUUCUUGAGUAGCAAGAAAAAAAAGAUUUUAAAGGGGUUCACAUGAUUUCCAUUGCACCAAUUCUCAGUCCUAGAUUUAUUUUCAAGUUUGACAGCAGUUAUCCUAUUCAUUAUUUUGACACAUGCUGAGAUUGAAUCCAUAUGUUUUUUUAAUUCCACAAGAAAUCUGCCUGAAGUCUAAGCUGUAGAUGGGAGUACAAUAAAGGACUGUACUUGCUGAAUGUAAGCUGCGUGUCAACUACAUCUGAAAGCAAGAGUGAAGAGCUGGCAGAUGUAGGGACAGGUUGUUUAUUGUUCAGAGAGAAUUAAGGCCAGGAAUGGCAACAAGAAGGUAAGCAGUUUGUGAAACCCUAGAGGUUUACUUACUGAGGAAGAGGAGUAGAAUAAAUGAAUUCUACACUAGAAAAAUGCUAGAGCAUUUGCACUGAAGGAAGAUAACAUGCUAGUAUGGAUUACUGUGGUUCAUUUAAAAAAUGAUAGUUAAGCAGUGGGUGAAUGUAAAUCAUCCUUAGAAAAUACCAUAUCACUUUGCAGCAAAGUACCAGGUGUACGUUAAAAGGUAUUUAACCUGUGUAAAAAGUACAAGAUAAUGUCUUUCAAAUUAAGGACAUUUUUCUCUCUUUUUACCUCUCUGUAUCUUGUGGAUAACAAAUAUAAAAGUCAG